GACGGAAGGUGCAAGCGUUGCUCGGAAUCACUGGGCGUAAAGCGUGCGCAGGCGGUUUUGUAAGCCAGGUGUGAAAUCCCCGGGCUUAACCUGGGAACUGCAUUUGUGACUGCAUCGCUGGAGUGCGGCAGAGGGGGAUGGAAUUCCGCGUGUAGCAGUGAAAUGCGUAGAUAUGCGGAGGACACCGAUGGCGAAGGCAAUCCCCUGGGCCUGCACUGACGCUCAUGCACGAAGCGUGGGGAGCAACAGGA
rnacentral:rRNA from 1 species